rnacentral:lncRNA from 1 species
GUUGGUGCUGACCCUGCGAAGGCAUCAGAAGGGGAAAGAAGUCUCACCAUCAUGCUUGGCAGGAGGGCGCAAUGACCCCGUGACUGGACUCAGCGGGCUGGCCCACGCACGCCUCUUGUCUUCUCCCCUCCCAGCAGCACUGCUGUGUUCCAAAGCCUCUUGCUACCUGCCUGUCCACCGUCCACAUUCCUCCUUUAUCCUCAUGCCAAAGGAGACAUCCCAACCCAGAGGAUAAACAUGGUGGCUUGACACUGAUUCCUUGUAUGUUGCUUACAAUUACUGUAUUUAUUGAGGAUAAAUACCCCAUGCUAAACCCUGGGAAGGAGAAAAUAAAAAGAUAAAGGCUGAUUCUUAGUCUAGAAUAAACAUUUUAAAAAAAUUUAGAUAAAGAUGAAACCUUUAUAAAGAUUAAAAGAUUCUAGAUGAAGGUUAAAAAAAAACCCAAACUAUCAUGAAAUAACAAUAAAUAUAUCACAGAAAAUAAAUGCAUUAUUACAUUGUGUAACAGCCUAGAACAUCUCCUAGGCAUCCAGAGGAAGGUGAUGAGGGCUCUGGUAUCAGGGAGACAUCCCAGAACAAGAGGGAUUUCAAUGGGGCCUUGAAUAGCGGAGACGAGGAGAGAAGACUUUUGUCAUGAGCCAAGUUGUUGAAUGGCUAAGUCUUCUCUGGCUCCCACAAUUCUCUCUAGGAAAUAAUAGUAAUAUCUAACCUUGUAAAGUAUUUCAGAGGAUUUAUAUGUCACACUUACCUAGUUCUUAAUAAGUGCUAUAAAUGUUAAAUAUGCAUGUAGAAUAUAAAUAUAUAAAAGUAUAUAUAAUUACAAACUUUCCCCUGCAGCAUUAGGUGAAGAAAGCUAAAAAAUUUGAAACAAAAACUUUCCUACUUGUAUUGGAAUAGCAUUAUCUCUAGGAGGCACGAGUUCUGCUAGACCACCAAGCGCACCACAUAUAACCAGGACUGUAUGCAGAUAUUCCUUCCCGUGCCAUUUAGUGUACCCAGGUACCUCCCCUGCAGGAUAACAAUCCCCAGCAGUUAUACAAGUCUUUAUGUUUAUACAAGGACUCUUCCUUAUCACUAUCCAAAGGAAACGACUCAUGGAGAAUUGGAGACAAAUAUAUGUUAUUCUCAAUAAUGGAAACACAAGAACAGUGCCUCUCAAAGUGUCCUUCAGUAUUCAUAUAUAACUAUCUAAGUAUUGCUUCCCUGGUGGCUCAGACGGUAAAGCGUCUGCCUGCAAUGCGGG